GCAGCACCGGCCGCGGGCUACGCAAUCAUAAUAAUAAUAAUACAACCCGGGCCGCACACUGACGGUCCGCCACCAAAUAACAUAAACAUUAGACAGGUAUAUUACGGCGAUACUCGAUUAUUUUAUCGGUAAGUAGGUGUAGAUACACACGCGCGUUUUCAAAAUCAACACGCUACAAUCGGCUCUCGAUAACGCCGAGAAUAAUAGUAUUAUCGUAGGCGUCGACCGUGUAUUAUUCCGCUCGCGACGAAUCGCACACGUGACGACGGUGACGACGACGACGACGACGAUCCGUACGUGUAACCCGGAUUUCCGCGGCCCCGU